GAUGAACGCUGGCGGCGUGCCUAAUACAUGCAAGUCGAGCGAACAGACGAGGAGCUUGCUCCUUUGACGUUAGCGGCGGACGGGUGAGUAACACGUAGGUAACCUACCUAUAAGACUGGGAUAACUUCGGGAAACCGGAGCUAAUACCGGAUAAUAUUUCGAACCGCAUGGUUCGAUAGUGAAAGAUGGCUUUGCUAUCACUUAUAGAUGGACCUGCGCCGUAUUAGCUAGUUGGUAAGGUAACGGCUUACCAAGGCAACGAUACGUAGCCGACCUGAGAGGGUGAUCGGCCACACUGGAACUGAGACACGGUCCAGACUCCUACGGGAGGCAGCAGUAGGGAAUCUUCCGCAAUGGGCGAAAGCCUGACGGAGCAACGCCGCGUGAGUGAUGAAGGUCUUCGGAUCGUAAAACUCUGUUAUUAGGGAAGAACAAACGUGUAAGUAACUGUGCACGUCUUGACGGUACCUAAUCAGAAAGCAACGGCUAACUACGUG
rnacentral:rRNA from 1 species